GUUGAUAAAUUGAAAUUAGCGCAAACCUUGAGGACAGGCAUGAAAAAAUGAGAACACGAGCAUGAUUGGUGAUGAGAUAUAAUAUAGAUGAACCCCUGCCUUGACUGAUUCAAUACAAAGGGAGGAAAAAAGAAGGAAAACAGGAGCAACCAAUUAAGAAAGAAGCAAAUUUAUAAUCAUGGCUUCUACAGCAGAUCAUGAAGAAGAGACAAAUAAUUUUUCAUAUGCAAUGGAACUGGCAAGUGCCAUAGUGCUACCUGCAGCUAUGCAAGCAGCGGUAGAGCUUGAUGUGUUUGAGAUCAUAAGCAAAGCUGGUCCCGGUGCUAAGCUUUUGGUUUCGGAAAUUGUGGCUCAAAUUCCCUUAAAAGAUAAUAAUCCUGAAGCUGCAGCCAUGACGUUGGAUCGGGUGCUGAGGCUGCUUGUCAGCUACAAUGCUCUUCAUUGCUCUUUUGUUGAUGGACAAAGGCUCUACUCUCUUGCUCCUGUUUCAGCAUACUUUGUUCGCAAUAAUCAAAACGGCGCGUCGUUGCGUCCCUAUAUGGCCUGGUGUCUCGACAAGGUCCUCAUGGAUUGCUGGUAUAUAGAAUUACUUUAUCUCCUUUCUUUCCUUUGCUAAUUUUGAUAAAUUAAGGACAAUUAUCAAAACCUUCUAGUUGUAUAUAUCCAAAAAUUAAUCAUUUGCAUCACAUGUUUUGAACCCAUCAAAAUCCGUCAGCUACUAAAAAGACAGUUAUCUUCAAUUAUUUUACUUUUGUUGUGGUAAAAAACAAAAAAAGUUUAUAGUCCAAGUGUUUUUGAAAUAUGAAAGUAGAAAGGAUUGAUUGUAACAAAUAAUUAAUAAAGUAUUCUUUAUCUUGGUUAAUUAUGCCGUCUAAUUUUACAAACUAAGCUUCUAAAAUUGUUACUAACUGUGUUUGGAUUUUGGAAAAUUCAGGUUUCGGUUGAAAGAGCAAAUUCUUGAAGGAGGAAUUGCGUUUAAUAAAGUGCACGGAAUGCAUAAGUACGAUUACUUGGGCGUUGACUCAAGAUUCAAUGAUGCUUACAACAAUGGAAUGUUAAGCCACACUUCUGUUGUCAUGGAGAAGAUCCUAGAAUCAUACAAAGGCUUUGAGCAUGUUAAGCAGCUUGUUGAUGUUGGCGGCGGCUUAGGAGCUGCUCUUAACAUGAUAAUUUCCAAAUACCCUCAUAUUAAGGGUAUUAAUUAUGAUUUACCAUAUGUUAUUCAAAAUGCCCCAUUUUAUCCUGGUAUGUUACUUACAAAAUUUAUACAAUAUUUUCGUUAAUGAUUCAUUGAUGGGAUACACGAUAGCUAACAAAAAUUAUUAUUAUUAUUUUUAAAUUUCAGGCAUUGAACAUGUAGGUGGAGACUUGUUUGAAAGUGUUCCUGAGGCAGAUACCAUUUUCAUAAAGGUUAUAUGUGUGUAUUAUUUGAAAUCAUCGUUAUAAGGAAAAAUCGAUAUAGGGUGAAUCACUAUUUUCCCCCCUAAUAUUUUGUAGGUUUACUUUGACCCGUUACUCAUUUGGUAUUAGAACUUUGACAAAAACACUUAAGGAAAAGUCAAAAUAUGUUGAAAAGUGUUGGGGGGCAACUGUCUCUCUUUCUUUUUCUCUAGUUGUAAAGGAGUGGCCAAAGCCCAAAUUGAUUAUUUAAAAACCACUGGACUAGCUCCUGAUGCAAAGUGUCAAUCUUUCCGGAUUAUACGUUUUGUUCAAUGCCAUAAAUUGAUCAUAGAUAUUCAUAUUAAUAGAUCUAAUGAGAAUUAACGUAAAUAUUAAACUUUUGCAGUGGGUCCUUAAUGCUUUUGAUGAUGAGCAGUCCUUGAAAUUGUUGAAAAAUUGUUACAAAGCUCUUCCGGAUGGUGGGAAGUUGCUUAAUGUUAAUGGAACAAUUCCAGAAGUGCCUGAGAAUAGCGCGACUUCAAGGGAGAUCUCCCACUUGGAUAUAAUUUGUUUAAUCCAAGUUCCUCAUGGAAGAGAGCGGACCAAACAAGAAUACAGUGACUUAGCAAUCAAAGCUGGAUUUAAAGGCGUCAACUACGAAUAUGGUGCAUGCAAUUUAUAUGUUAUGGAAUUCCUCAAAUAAUAAAUUGCUUUACUUGUAUUAGGAAAGGUCUUCUCAACUCUCUUUGGGGAGUUACCAAUUUCUGGUUUGUGUUAAUUUUUCUUCUCGCCUUAGCUUUUCUCUUAUGUACUCUUUUUCAUCCUUUAAGCAUCUGUCUUUUUAAGGGAGAUUGACUGCCUUAUAAGGUAGCUCCUAUGUAAUAUUUUCCAUUUUAAUUUUUACUGUUGUAGCAUGUGAUACUUAGUUUUUUAUCGAGGAAAAAAAUAGUGUAUUCAUCUGACUUUGUUUUUUUUUUUUUUUUCCUUUUUCUACUUAUUGCAAAGUUAUGUUGUGCAAAAACCAGCAAUAUAUAAUUAAUAAUUUAAAGUAAUAAAGUUUGAUUUUUGAACGUAGUAAAAUACACCGUAACUGAAUCGAACAAUGCCUGAAAAAUAUAUUGAAAAUGGAUUAUAGAGAUAUAAAUUUCUAUUAUAAUUAUAAUUUAGUUUUUUAUUUUUAAGUUAACUUAGAGAAAAUAUAUUUUAUUUUCAUUAUAAUUGUGAUUUAAUUUUUCUUUUUGAAUUAAUUUAGAGAAGUAGGUUUCCUCUAUUAUAAAUAGAGAGCUCUUGUGGUUGUUUUAAGAACUUUUUUCUAUUAUAAAUAGAGAGUUUUUGUGAUUAUUUUAAGAACUUUUUCCAAACUCAAUUAUUCUAUAAAUUUUUAUUCUAAUUUUUUUUUUCUAUCUUCUUUACAAUUCCUCGUCGGCUAAUAUAGGUCAAAGGGGUUAAAAAAAAGUGCAAGCCUUUUGAAACAAGUCACAGAUGACAGACCCAAUCAGAACUAUAAGUAAAUAUAAUAGUUUGCACUGGCAAUAGGAUUUCCGGCAUUUCGUCUAAGGCACAAUUGACACAACGCUUGAUUGACCAAAACAAAUAGUUGAUUAUUGUAAUUAUUGUGAAUAUAGUCUUUUGUUUUACAACGCGUUAAAUAUGUUUAUAUAUUUUGUAAAAGUCAAGCAAUGAGAUGUAGGGAACGAUUAUUGUUUUCACCAUAUCAAUUAUCUCAAAGAUUAUCUCAAAUAUUUUUCAUGUUCUGUCUGCCGGUACUCUGCCUUCUAGAGGUGCACAGUGAUGGGUGAAAAGAGGAAAAUGAAAAAAAGAUAAGAAAAAAUUUAUAAGGUCCUUUAAUGCGGGGUCGUUUUGGUUCGAUAUGUGUUGAAAAUUUUUUCGGGUGCAAGCUGUCGCUAUCACCGACUUCAAAAACCUUGUCUUGUAAUAUUAAUAUAGGCCCCGAGCCCCCCACCACUUUGCCUCUGUGAUUAAGAACCCCAUUCUUUGUCUUUUAGCAAACCCCCCGCCGCUUUAUAAGUCAAUAAUUUUGUUUUUUUUUUUUUUUUUUUUUGUCAACUCAAUUGAAGGCUUUGCCCACUUGUAGAAAAUCCCAUAAUGGGUUCCACUAGGUUACAGCAGUGGCACAUAUAAUUUCUUUUUGUCUUCUGUGAUAAAAUUUCAUAUAAUCUCUUCUAUUUAUUUUUAUUUAAUAUUUAUCCUAUAAGUAUUAAGUUAAUUUCUACCUACACUUACAGCUACAUUUCGGUUAGCUCUUUAUACUAUUUUAUAUUUACAGAUUUUUUAUUCAAUAUUGCACAUGUAUCACAAUACCCCCUCUUUAUUAUUUUGAAGUUAAAUAAUUAACAUGUUUAAUUUAAAACCUUACACUCCUUUUUAAUUAUAAUCUUUUUAAAUAUCGGGUAUUUUUUACAUUUGCUAUCAAAUUUCAUUUAACACUUUACACUCUUUUUAUUUCGAAUUUUUUUAUAGAUAUUAAUUUACAUUAUGGUAGUGCACUGUGUCCAUAUAUUAUUUAUGAAUGGUAAUUUAUCACUAAUACAGUGACAUUUCAUCCAGGAGUGGCUCUCCUUGUUGAUAAAUUGAAAUUAGCGCAAACCUUGAGGACAGGCAUGAAAAAAUGAGAACACGAGCAUGAUUUGUGAUGAGAUUUAAUAUAGUUGAAUCCAUGCCUCGACUGAUUCAAUAGAAAGGAGGGAAAAAAGAAGGAAAACAGAAGCAAGCAAUUAAGAAAGAAGCAAAUUAUAAUCAUGGCUUCUAUAGCUGAUCAGGAAGAAGAGGCAAAUAAUUUUUCAUAUGCAAUGGAACUGGCAAGUGCCAUAGUGCUACCUGCAGCUAUGCAAGCAGUGGUAGAGCUUGAUGUGUUUGAGAUCAUAACCAAAGCUGGUCCCGGUGCUAAGCUUUCAGUUUCGGAAAUUGUGGCUCAAAUUCCCUUAAAAGAUAAUAAUCCUGAAGCUGCAGCCAU
rnacentral:lncRNA from 1 species